AUGAUCCUCGGAAUCAAGUCUGGCUCCAGGGGCAUAUUAACCAUCACUGGGGUCCAAGCCGAGGAUGUGGCCAUCUACGACUGUGGGAGCUACGACAGCAGCAUUGCUGCAGACGUGGUGAAAUGGAGCAAUAGGCAAGUGAUACUAAAACCUUCCUGCAUUGCAGAGGCAAGUUCCCUGGUCCAGGCAGCGCUGACUCAGCCCCCAUCGCUCUCAGUGGAUCCAGGAAAGGACGCUCAGAUCACCUGCUCUGGUGGUGACAGCUACUAUGGCUGCUACGGCUAUGGCUGGUACCAGCAGAAGGUGCCUGGCAGUGCCCCUAUCACUGUGAUCUACGAUAACAACAAGAGACCCUCGGGCAUCCCUUCGCGAUUCUCCGGAUCCAGCUCCGGCUCCACGGGCACGUUAACCAUCACUGGGGUCCAACCCGAGGAUGAGGCCGUCUAUUACUGUGGUGGCUGGGAUAGCAUCAGCAGUUAUGGUGUCUGA